rnacentral:rRNA from 1 species
AUAGCGUAUAUUAAAGUUGUUGCAGUUAAAAAGCUCGUAGUUGAACUUCAGACCUGGCUGGAUGGUCUGCCUAACGGUAUGUACUGUCCGGCUGGGCCUUACCUCUUGGUGAGCCGGCAUGCCCUUCACUGGGUGUGUCGGGGAACCAGGACUUUUACCUUGAGAAAAUUAGAGUGUUCAAAGCAGGCUUAUGCUCGAAUACAUUAGCAUGGAAUAAUAAAAUAGGACGUGCGGUUCUAUUUUGUUGGUUUCUAGAGUCGCCGUAAUGAUUAAUAGGGACAGUCGGGGGCAUCAGUAUUCAAUUGUCAGAGGUGAAAUUCUUGGAUUGACUCAAGACCAACUAUUG